rfam:Canis lupus familiaris chromosome X, whole genome shotgun sequence.
AUCCCUUUGUAGUUCGUAAGUGUGAUGACUGGAUGUUCAGGCCACGGUGUGACAUGUAUCUCCCUCAAACCUUGUUACGACCUCAGCACAUUACCCGUUUGACA